AAUGAUGUUAAUUCUCCUUAAAUUCUAUAUUUAAAUUUAUAGUUAGUUUUGCGAAAUUCCUAAAAUGAGUUUAAUCUAAUCGACGAAAUAUAUUAAUUAACUUGAAAUUAAUAAAAGAUUAAUUAUUUUUAACUAAAAAUUAAAAUUCAAUUAGUGUUUUGAUGAAUUUGGUCUCGAUAAAUUGAAAUAAUCUAAAAAACGCUAUAAUUUUUCUAUUAAUAGUAAUUAAUAUGUGCUAUAUUUAUCUUAGACACAGCAAUGUGUUCAAAUUUUCAUCUAUUCAUAAGCUAGCCUUCGGGCUAGUUUUUUUGUGCUAUAUAUAUUUGUUUUAAUUAAAUAAAAUUAGAUAAUGCAAUAGUAGCCAUUUUAUGUUAAUAUUACCUUGGGCGUUUUCAAGGAGCGCCUUUCAUUUUUUAUGUAUUGCUCCCCUUCGGGCUAGUAUAUUAAAUUUAUUUUUGCGCUUUCCAAAUCAAUGUAUAUGUGUUAUAUUGUUUAUGGGAAGUAGGUAAGCAUUUCGGUGCUUACCUUUUUUUGUUUUUCUAUAAAUACAAUAAGGUAUGUCAAUUUGAUAAUUUAUUAAUUUUCAUUUAAUAAGAAGAUCUAUAUAGUUAAUGAAUAAUUAAUGUACUUUUUUUUAGUCAGUCAUUAAAAUAAAUUAGUACUAAUUACUAAGGAGAAUAAAA
rnacentral:misc_RNA from 1 species